UAACGGUUGUAUGUGCAGGUCAGCCUCCACAAAAGCUGUCCCUAGGGCAUCCAGUCCCAGGGAGAGUCAGCUGAAUGGUGUGUGGUAAUUUUGGUGGAUGGUGCCGGUUUCUCUGAGUUGUGUGACAAUUUACACUUAACCAUCAACACCAUGUAAGGAAAUAUUUCCCUGAACCACUCACCAGGAAUAAGUCACCGAGGAAGCAGAGACACACUGAAAGGCUGCACACCCAGCGCAAGGUCUCACGAGAGCUAACAAGCUCACGAGUCAGCUAACGAGACUUUAUUAAAUGAUCCACCUCGGCGGAUUUCGGGGGACAUUGCUCUGCGGUUCCCACUGUCCCUACGGUUCCUUCUCCUUUCGUCUUCAGGCAUCUUCUCUCAGCCACAUGCCUGGCUGGUGUUUGCCAAAGGCUCUCAGGCUGGUGGCCACAGAGAGGAGCUCCAUUCCCUGGUGCUGUUGCCCUCCCGGUAUCUCCAUAACCACCACACUGGCCUCAUGCCUGCGCUGGGCACAUCUGUCCAUCCAUCUGUCCAUCUGUCUGUCCAUCCAUCCAUGCCGAUGCUUCCAGUGCCCAGCCAAGGCCUGCAUUUGCCAAGGCUAAAUUUAACCCGCAGCUGCUUCAUAAGACGCUGGUAUUUUCAGGGAGGAGCCUAGAACUGCUGAGCUGGAUGCCUCUGAGGGCUGCUGGCCAGGGCUCACACCCUUGCUUUGAGUUGUGCUCAGUAUCCAAGCUGUUCUGAGAACUUGUUCCUUCCCAUCCCUUCCUUUUAAAUUUUUUUUAAAAAAGAUUAUAAUUAUAUCAUUCCCCUCUUCUCUUUCUUCCCUCUAAAUCCUCAAAUAUACCACUUCUUACAACACCCCUGCUCUCUUUGAAA